rnacentral:misc_RNA from 1 species
GAUGAAGAACGUAGCGAAAUGCGAUAAGUAGUGUGAAUUGCAGAAUUCAGUGAAUCAUCGAAUCUUUGAACGCACCUUGCACCCUUUGGCAUUCCGAAGGGUAUGCUCGUUUGAGUGUCAUUGUACUCUCACACUUCCGAUCUUUCGAUUGGGAGCGGUGGACUUGGGUGUUGCUGCUUUACUGUGGCUCACCUCAAAUGGAGUAGUGCAACUCUUGGUUGGACAUAGUACGGCGUGAUAAGUGUCUUCGCCGGCACCUCAUAGAGGGUGGCUGAUCAGGAGCUCUGUGCUUCAAACUGUCUUCGGACAACCUCUGACAACUUGACCUCAAAUCGAGUAGGACCACCCGCUGAACUUAAGCAUAUCAAUAAGCGGAGGA